UGAGGAAUUUUGGACAAUGGGGGCAACCCUGAUCCAGCAAUGCCGCGUGAGUGAAGAAGGCCUUCGGGUUGUAAAGCUCCUUUGUCAGGGAAGAAACGGUAGUAGCGAAUAACUACUACUAAUGACGGUACCUGAAGAAUAAGCACCGGCUAACUACGUGCCAGCAGCCGCGGUAAUACGUAGGGUGCAAGCGUUAAUCGGAAUUACUGGGCGUAAAGCGUGCGCAGGCGGUUGUGUAAGUCAGAUGUGAAAUCCCCGGGCUCAACCUGGGAAUCGCAUUUGAGACUGCACGGCUAGAGUGUGUCAGAGGGGGGUAGAAUUCCACGUGUAGCAGUGAAAUGCGUAGAUAUGUGGAGGAACACCGAUGGCGAAGGCAGCCCCCUGGGUUAACACUGACGCUCAUGCACGAAAGCGUGGGGAGCAAACAGGAUUAGAUACCCCAGUAGUCCCUGAGCGGGCUGGCAAGGCGCAU
rnacentral:rRNA from 1 species